rnacentral:rRNA from 1 species
UACGUAGGGUCCGAGCGUUGUCCGGAAUUACUGGGCGUAAAGAGCUCGUAGGUGGUUUGUCGCGUUGUUCGUGAAAACUCACAGCUCAACUGUGGGCGUGCGGGCGAUACGGGCAGACUAGAGUACUGCAGGGGAGACUGGAAUUCCCGGUGUAGCGGUGAAAUGCGCAGAUAUCGGGAAGAACACCCGUGGCGAAGGCGGCUCUCUGGGACGGUACUGACGCUGAGACGCGAAAGCGUGGGGAGCGAACAGG